rnacentral:tRNA from 1 species
GAUCGCGUAGCGGAGUGGAUAUCGCGUUAAAAUCCGGAUUGAGAGGUCGGGGUUUUGAAUCCCACUGGGAUCG